rnacentral:lncRNA from 1 species
AUCAUCCUUUUUGAGAGUGCUAGCUCGCAUCGAAGGCUUUGGAUGGCUGAUUCAAGCUUCUUUUUUUAAAUCAUCCGAAUUCUUCUAGAUCAGAAGAUAGAGCUUUAUGAGAAGGUGGCGGUGUGGAAGAUUGAAAAUUCUAGAACCCACCCUAGACCUCACGCCCAAAAGGAAGAUCACUUCCUCUAUUUCUCAUGCACAGAACCCCACCCCCUCUCUAUUUCAUGCCCCCUCUAUCUCAGAAGAUUAUUUCCAUAGUAAAACUUCUCCUUUUUGUCACACAAAAUGAGAAGGAUUUUAAAGAUGGCAUUGGAGAGGAAAGGGAUAAGGAUGAAGUGGUUAAAAGAAGUUCAAAUUCAAAACAAUUUGAAUUCAAAAUAUAACCAAUUGAUCCUUAUCCAUUAGGGGUGCAAAAGAGAGGUGAGAAACCUCAAAUUAGCAUGGAAAAACAUCACACAAAAAAUUUUCUCAUGCAAAGGGGAGAGAAGUCUGCGUGGGGAAGAGUCCAACUUGUUUUGGACUCUAACUUCUCAUUCAAGUUCAAACUUUUAAACUCAAAAUUAAAACCAACUUCAUUCAAAAUCAAAAGAGAUCAGAAGUGGGUGUUAAUCUCUUCUAGCUGUGAGAAAAAAAUCACACAAAAACUUUUCUCGCAUGAAGAAAAGGUGGGCAUAGA